rnacentral:rRNA from 1 species
AGACGGAGGAGGCUAGCGUUGUUCGGAAUUACUGGGCGUAAAGCGUACGCAGGCGGUUGAUCAAGUCGGGUGUGAAAGCCCGGGGCUCAACCUCGGAAUUGCGCCUGAGACUGGUCAGCUAGAGUUCGGAAGAGGAGAGGGGAAUUCCCAGUGUAGAGGUGAAAUUCGUAGAUUUUGGGAAGAACACCAGUGGGGAAGGCGACUCUCUGGUCCGAUACUGACGCUCAAGUACGAAAGCGUGGGGAGCAAACAGGAUUAGAUACCCUGGUAGUCCACGUCGUAAACGAUGUGUGCUAGAUGUCGGGAAGCUUGCUUCUCGGUGUCGCAGCUAACGCGAUAAGCACACCGCCUGGGGAGUACGGCCGCAAGGUUAA